AGAGACAGCAGUAGCCGCGGUAAUACGUAGGGUGCAAGCGUUAAUCGGAAUUACUGGGCGUAAAGCGUGCGCAGGCGGCUCUAUAAGACAGAUGUGAAAUCCCCGGGCUCAACCUGGGAACUGCAUUUGUGACUGUAGAGCUGGAGUGCGGCAGAGGGGGAUGGAAUUCCGCGUGUAGCAGUGAAAUGCGUAGAUAUGCGGAGGAACACCGAUGGCGAAGGCAAUCCCCUGGGCCUGCACUGACGCUCAUGCACGAAAGCGUGGGGAGCAAACAGGAUUAGAUACCCCAGUAGUCCCUGUCUCUUAUAC
rnacentral:rRNA from 1 species